ACGUAGGGGGCGAGCGUUGUCCGGAUUUACUGGGCGUAAAGGGUGAGUAGGCGGUUAUGUAUGUCAGAUGUAAAAGGCACAAGCUUAACUUGUGUAAGCCUUUGGAACUGGAUAACUUGAGUGCAGGAGAGGUAAGUGGAAUUCCUAGUGUAGCGGUGAAAUGCGUAGAUAUUAGGAGGAACACCAGUGGCGAAGGCGACUUACUGGACUGUAACUGACGCUGAGUCACGAAAGCGUGGGUAGCAAACAG
rnacentral:rRNA from 1 species